UCCAAUGUUGUUUUUUAAAUUCUGUUCCAUGAGACCAUCUAGACUAGAUGCUGCUAGCCAUGCCAGGUCUCACAGCAAAAAAGAUGGCAAGCUGAGCUUGAGGCCAACUUCAAGGAAUGUGUCGAUAAACCAAGAUGUUCAAAAUGUGAGCUUCCUAUUCCGCCGCCACGCCUGCCUGCUGACGUAACUCCCAGCCAGGAUGGAUUCUUACUCUUCUGGAACUGUAAGCUCAAAUAAAUGUUUCUCUUUGUGGUCUCGGUCCUGGUGUUUUAUCUCAGCACUAGAAAAGUAACACAACACUUGGAAUUCAUCUUUGGCCUCAAUAUGUGAACAGACAGACAGACACACACACGCAAGCAAAAGAGAAGGUGGGAACCAAUGAUGGAUGCCACUUUACUGUACUUGUAAAAACAAGCUGGUGACAAGCCAUUCAGGCCAGGACCCUACACACCUGGAAACACUGAUAAGCUUUGGGGUGCAAACAAACACCUCUGAAUUCCCAGAAUCCGAGUUCCCAGAUUGCCCAUCACCAUGUGAUACAGACCAGGGAGGGUGUAUGUUCAUUGUUGAAAUGAAGGGAUCAUGAGGUUGAAGUUAUUGUUUUCAGCAGAAACCAGUAAAAUUUGGACCAGGGUCAUGAUGCUGAAGAAGACUGACAAUUAUGGUGAAUAAAGUUUUCCAUGUGACCA